UACAGAGGGGGCAAGCGUUAUUCGGAAUUAUUGGGCGUAAAGGGCGCGUAGGCGGUCAGCACAGGUCGGUUGUGAAAUCUCCGAGCUUAACUCGGAAAGGUCAACUGAUACUGUGCGACUAGAGUGCGGAAGGGGCAACUGGAAUUCUUGGUGUAGCGGUGAAAUGCGUAGAUAUCAAGAGGAACACCUGCGGCGAAGGCGGGUUGCUGGGCCGACACUGACGCUGAUGCGCGAAAGCGUGGGGAGCAAACAGG
rnacentral:rRNA from 1 species